rnacentral:rRNA from 1 species
GCCUUAGUAACGGCGAGUGAAGCGGCAACAGCUCAAAUUUGAAAUCUGGCCCUUGGGUCCGAGUUGUAAUUUGUAGAGGAUGUUUUUGGUGCGGUAUCUUCCGAGUUCCUUGGAACAGGACGCCUUAGAGGGUGAGAGCCCCGUACGGUUGAAUGCCUAGCCUCUGUAAAACUCCUUCGACGAGUCGAGUAGUUUGGGAAUGCUGCUCUAAAUGGGAGGUAAAUUUCUUCUAAAGCUAAAUACUGGCCAGAGACCGAUAGCGCACAAGUAGAGUGAUCGAAAGAUGAAAAGCACUUUGAAAAGAGGGUUAAAUAGCACGUGAAAUUGUUGAAAGGGAAGGAUUUAUGACCAGACUUUUUCUGGGCGGAUCAUCCGGUGUUCUCACCGGUGCACUUCGCUCAGUUUAGGCCAGCAUCGAUUUUCGGUGGGGGAUAAAAGCUUUAGGAAUGUGGCUCCUCCGGGAGUGUUAUAGCCUAUUGUAUAAUACCCUACUGGGGAUCGAGGUACGCGCUUCUGCAAGGAUGCUGGCGUAAUGGUUAUCAAUCACCCGUCUUGAAACACGGACCAAGGAGUCGAACAUUUGUGCAAGUGUUUGGGUGUUAAACCCUCACGCGUAAUGAAAGUGAACGGAGGUGAGAGCCCUUACGGGUGCAUCAUCGACCGAUCCUGAUGUUUUCGGAUGGAUUUGAGUAAGAGCAUAACUGUUCGGACCCGAAAGAUGGUGAACUAUGCGUGGAUAGGGUGAAGCCAGAGGAAACUCUGGUGGAGGCUCGCAGCGGUUCUGACGUGCAAAUCGAUCGUCAAAUCUGCGCAUGGGGGCGAAAGACUA